rnacentral:rRNA from 1 species
UACGUAGGGUGCGAGCGUUAAUCGGAAUUACUGGGCGUAAAGCGUGCGCAGGCGGCGCGUUAAGACAGGUGUGAAAGCCCCGAGCUUAACUUGGGAAUUGCGCUUGUGACUGGCGUGCUGGAGUGUGGCAGAGGGAGGUGGAAUUCCACGUGUAGCAGUGAAAUGCGUAGAGAUGUGGAGGAACACCGAUGGCGAAGGCGGCUACCUGGCCCACUCUUGACGCUGAGGCGCGAAAGCUAGGGGAGCAAACGGG